AGCAUCAGGUCAACACCGCAUUUGUGGAAAUCCAUUCAAGUUCCUUUUCACUGUAGACUCAGGUCCACUCACCAAACCAUCCAAGAUGUCCUUUGGGUACAACCAGUGCUAUGCCAGCUGCCCUCCCACCACCGUGACCAUUCAACCUCCACCUUUCAUCCUGAGCAUUCCAGGUCCAUCACUCUAUUGUCCUGAUCAGCCAUUUGGCAUCGAGCAACACAACCCUUGUGCCGCGAUCCCGUACCACAAUGAGGGAAAACCCCGUGGAUAUGGCUCAUUCUCUGGUGUUUAUUCCACAAGUGUUUGUUCCCAGAAAACAAGAAACCAGAGUGAAUGUGGACCCUGCAAACGCUUCUAAAUCUUGAAGGCACAACCUAUAUGAUGAAGAUGUUGAAGAACAAAUCUGGAAACACGGCAUCAAAGUCAACUGAGUUGGUACAAUUAGAUCUCAGGAAUGUAUGGUCAAUAUUUGUGUUAUGGGCAGUCCUCAAGUCUUUAAUAUGUCAUGAGAGAUUUCUGCAUGCCUUUCAAAGUCAACAUUGUAUUACCAUCACCCAGAACCACCAAAGGUGUAUCUAUCUACAUGGUUGAAUGGGGAGAAAUUAUAAUUGUACUUGUUUUGUGUCCUUGUGGGAAAUCAUCCCCAUUAAUGUUAUUUUCUGUGCCAAAUUAUGAUCCUUCUUUUUUUCCUAUUCCAUUUUGUCAUAUUUACCAUACAUUUCUGUUCUGUCCUAUUUGAAGCAAAGAAAAAAAGGUGUAUGACUCACUGUUCCUAAAAUAAAACAUUUAUUGCAUCAAA